rnacentral:rRNA from 1 species
GAUGAACGCUGGCGGCGUGCCUAAUACAUGCAAGUCGAGCGAACAGAUGAGGAGCUUGCUCCUCUGACGUUAGCGGCGGACGGGUGAGUAACACGUGGAUAACCUACCUAUAAGACUGGGAUAACUUCGGGAAACCGGAGCUAAUACCGGAUAAUAUAUUUAACCGCAUGGUUCAAUAGUGAAAGACGGUUUUGCUGUAACUUAUAGAUGGAUCCGCGCCGCAUUAGCUAGUUGGUAAGGUAACGGCUUACCAAGGCAACGAUGCGUAGCCGACCUGAGAGGGUGAUCGGCCACACUGGAACUGAGAAACGGUCCAGAACCCUAAGGGAGGCCGCAGUAGGGAAUCUUCCGCAAUGGGCGAAAGCCUGACGGAGCAACGCAGCGUGAGUGAUGAAGGUCUUCGGAUCGUAAAACUCUGUUAUUAGGGAAGAACAAAUGUGUAAGUAACUAUGCACGUCUUGACGGUACCUAAUCAGAAAGCCACGGCUAACUACGUG